rnacentral:tRNA from 1 species
GGGCGAGUAGCUCAGUGGUUAGAGCAGGGCACUCAUAAUGCCUUGGUCGUUGGUUCGAACCCAUCCUCGCCCACCA